rnacentral:rRNA from 1 species
CCUACGGGUGGCAGCAGGGAGGAAGAGUGGGCAAUGGCCGAAAGGCGGAACCAGCCAAGUCGCGGGAAGGAAGAAGGAGCUAUGGUUGGUAAACUGCGUUUAUAGGGGAAUAAAGGGAGCCACGUGUGGAUAUUUGCAUGUACCCUAUGAAUAAGCAUCGGCUAACUCCGUGCCAGCAGCCGCGGUAAGACGGAGGAUGCGAGCGUUAUCCGGAUUUAUUGGGGUUAAAGGGUGCGUAGGUUGUUUUUUAAGUCAGCGGGGAAAGUUUGUGGCUCAACCAUAAAAUUGCCAUUGAAACUGGAAGACUUGCGUGUGUUUGCGGUAGGCGGACUGCGUUUUGUCGCGGU